rnacentral:RNase_P_RNA from 1 species
AAGGCUGUAUAUGAGGAAAGUCCGGGCAUCACAGGGCAGGGUGCCGGGUAACUCCCGGUGGAGGCGACUCUAAGGAAAGUGCAACAGAAAAUAACCGCCGCAUUUUUGCGGUAAGGAUGAAAAGGCGAGGUAAGAGCUCACCGCGGAUUGGGUAAUCAAUCCGGCGUGUAAACCCCAUCCGAUGCAACACCGUGUAAGAGAGAUUUAUAUUUGCCCGAUAUUCUCUCAAUAGAGGUGGCUUGAGUUGUGUAGAGAUAUACAACCUAGACAGAUGGCUAUUCAGACGACAGAACCCGGCUUACUGUUU